rnacentral:rRNA from 1 species
CAAAGUAGGCAAAUCCGCUUUGAUAAUGCUGGGGUGUGAUGGGGAGCGAAAUGUAGUAGCGAAGUAGCUGAUUUCACACUGUCAAGAAAAGUCUCUAUCGAGGUUAAAGGUACCCGUACCGCAAACCGACACAGGUGGGUGAGGAGAGUAUCCUAAGGCCAGCGAGAGAACUGUUGUUAAGGAACGCGGCAAAAUGACCCCGUAACUUAGGGAUAAGGGGUGCCACCAUCAGGUGGC